rnacentral:rRNA from 1 species
UACGUAGGUGGCGAGCGUUGUCCGGAUUUACUGGGCGGAAAGAGCGCGCAGGCGGUCGUUCAAGUCGCGUGUGAAAGCCCCCGGCUCAACUGGGGAGGGUCACGCGAUACUGAUCGACUCGAAGGCAGGAGAGGGAAGUGGAAUUCCCGGUGUAGUGGUGAAAUGCGUAGAUAUCGGGAGGAACACCAGUGGCGAAGGCGACUUCCUGGCCUGUUCUUGACGCUGAGGCGCGAAAGCUAGGGGAGCAAACGGG